UGGGGAAUAUUGGACAAUGGGCGCAAGCCUGAUCCAGCCAUGCCGCGUGAGUGAUGAAGGCUCUAGGGUUGUAAAGCUCUUUCACCGGUGAAGAUAAUGACGGUAACCGGAGAAGAAGCCCCGGCUAACUUCGUGCCAGCAGCUGCGGUAAUACGACGGGGGCUAGCGUUGUUCGGAUUUACUGGGCGUAAAGCGCACGUAGGCGGACUUUUAAGUCAGGGGUGAAAUCCCGGGGCUCAACCCCGGAACUGCCUUUGAUACUGGAAGUAUUGAGUAUGGUAGAGGUGGGUGGAAUUCCGAGUGUAGAGGUGAAAUUCGUAGAUAUUCGGAGGAAAACCAGUGGCGAAGGCGUCUCACUGGACCAUUACUGACGCUGAGGUGCGAAAGCGUGGGGAGCAAACAGG
rnacentral:rRNA from 1 species